AUUGAAUGCUGGCGGAAUGCUUUACACAUGCAAGUCGAACGGCAGCACGGACUUCGGUCUGGUGGCGAGUGGCGAACGGGUGAGUAAUACAUCGGAACGUGCCCAAUCGUGGGGGAUAACGUAGCGAAAGCUACGCUAAUACCGCAUACGAUCUAAGGAUGAAAGCGGGGGAUCGCAAGACCUCGCGCGAUUGGAGCGGCCGAUGGCAGAUUAGGUAGUUGGUAGGGUAAAGGCCUACCAAGCCGACGAUCUGUAGCUGGUCUGAGAGGAUGAUCAGCCACACUGGGACUGAGACACGGCCCAGCCUCCUACGGGAGGCAGCAGUGGGGAAUUUUGGACAAUGGACGCAAGUCUGAUCCAGCCAUUCCGCGUGCAGGAUGAAGGCCCUCGGGUUGUAAACUGCUUUUGUACAGAACGAAAAGGCUCUGGUUAAUACCUAGGGCUCAUGACGGUACUGUAAGAAUAAGCACCGGCUAACUACGUGCCAGCAGCCGCCGUAA
rnacentral:rRNA from 1 species